UACGUAGGGCGCAAGCGUUAUCCGGAAUUAUUGGGCGUAAAGAGCUCGUAGGCGGUUUGUCGCGUCUGCCGUGAAAGUCCGGGGCUCAACUCCGGAUCUGCGGUGGGUACGGGCAGACUAGAGUGAUGUAGGGGAGACUGGAAUUCCUGGUGUAGCGGUGAAAUGCGCAGAUAUCAGGAGGAACACCGAUGGCGAAAGGCAGGGUCUCCUAGGGCAUU
rnacentral:rRNA from 1 species